UGUGCCAGCCGCCGCGGUAAUACGUAGGUGGCAAGCGUUGUCCGGAAUUAUUGGGCGUAAAGCGCGCGCAGGUGGGAUCUUAAGUCUAUUUUUAAAGUUCGGAGCUUAACUCCGUGAUGGGAUAGAAACUGGGAUUCUUGAGUACCGGAGAGGAAAGCGGAAUUCCCCGUGUAGCGGUGAAAUGCGUAGAUAUGGGGAGGAACACCAGUGGCGAAGGCGGCUUUCUGGACGGUGUCUGACACUGAGGCGCGAAAGCUAGGGGAGCGAACGGGAUUAGAUACCCCGGUAGUCCUAGCCGUAAACGAUGGGUACUAGGUGUGGGGGGUGUCAACUCCUCCCGUGCCGGCGCUAACGCAAUAAGUACCCCGCCUGGGGAGUACGGCCGCAAGGUUGAAACUCAAAGGAAUUGACGGGGGCCCGCACAAGCGGUGGAGUAUGUGGUUUAAUUCGACGCAACGCGAAGAACCUUACCAGGGUUUGACAUCCACUGAAUACGUAAGAGAUUACGUCGGCCCCUUCGGGGGACAGUGAGACAGGUGGUGCAUGGCUGUCGUCAGCUCGUGUCGUGAGAUGUUGGGUUAAGUCCCGCAACGAGCGCAACCCUUAUCCUGUGUUACCAGCAUGAAAGAUGGGGACUCACAGGAGACUGCCGCCGACAAGGCGGAGGAAGGCGGGGAUGACGUCAAGUCAUCAUGCCCCUUAUGUCCUGGGCUACACACGUACUACAAUGGGUGCGAACAGAGGGCCGCAAACCCGCGAGGGGGAGCCAAUCCCACAAAAGCACUCUCAGUUCGGAUCGCAGGCUGCAACCCGCCUGCGUGAAGUCGGAAUCGCUAGUAAUCGCAGAUCAGCAGGCUGCGGUGAAUACGUUCCCGGGCCUUGUACACACCGCCCGUCACACCACGAAAGUCUGCAACACCCGAAGCCGGUGGGGUAACCGCAAGGAGCCAGCCGUCGAAGGUGGGGCCGAUGAUUGGGGUGA
rnacentral:rRNA from 1 species